rnacentral:rRNA from 1 species
CUACCAUGGCUUUCACGGGUAACGGAGGAUUAGGGUUCGAUUCCGGAGAGGGAGCCUGAGAAACGGCUACCACAUCUAAGGAAGGCAGCAGGCGCGUAAAUUACCCAAUACUGAUUCAGUGAGGUAGUGACAAGAAAUAGCGGGCAGACUUUUGUCUGGACUGAAAUGAUUAGAAUUUAACGACCUUUACGAGGAACAAUUGGAGGGCAAGUCUGGUGCCAGCAGCCGCGGUAAUUCCAGCUCCAAUAGCGUAUAUUAAAGUUGUUGCAGUUAAAAAGCUCGUAGUUGGAUUUCUGGUCGAGUGUCCCUAGGCCGACUUGACGUUUGGUCCUAGGCGCUCUGCCAUCCUUCUGUUAACUUUCGCCUCGUUCGUUCGUGGCGCUAGGGCUCAGAUAUUUUACCUUGAGAAAAUUAGAGUGUUUCAGGCAGGCUUUCGCCGGAAUACAUUAGCAUGGAAUAAUGGAAAAGGACUUCAACCUCUUCUGUUGGUCUGAGAGGAUGUAGUAAUGAUUAAUAGGGAUAGUUGGGGGCAUUAGUACUUAACUGUCAGAGGUGAAAUUCUCCGAUUUGUUAAAGACUAACUUAUGCGAAAGCAUUUGCCAAGGAUGUUUUCAUUAAUCAA